CGAACGCUGGCGGCGUGCCUAAUACAUGCAAGUAGAACGCUGAAGGAGGAGCUUGCUUCUCUGGAUGAGUUGCGAACGGGUGAGUAACGCGUAGGUAACCUGCCUGGUAGCGGGGGAUAACUAUUGGAAACGAUAGCUAAUACCGCAUAAGAGUAGAUGUCGCAUGACAUUUGCUUAAAAGGUGCAAUUGCAUCACUACCAGAUGGACCUGCGUUGUAUUAGCUAGUUGGUGAGGUAACGGCUCACCAAGGCAACGAUACAUAGCCGACCUGAGAGGGUGAUCGGCCACACUGGGACUGAGACACGGCCCAGACUCCUACGGGAGGCAGCAGUAGGGAAUCUUCGGCAAUGGACGGAAGUCUGACCGAGCAACGCCGCGUGAGUGAAGAAGGUUUUCGGAUCGUAAAGCUCUGUUGUAAGAGAAGAACGAGUGUGAGAGUGGAAAGUUCACACUGUGACGGUAUCUUACCAGAAAGGGACGGCUAACUACGUG
rnacentral:rRNA from 1 species